CAGCCGUGCUGGUUUGAGCCUUUUGGACGUUUCUUCAUGCAGAUACCGGACGAACAUUGGCAGGCUGUGCGAUUUAUUGCAGAGAAAGAGAACCCUCACUAGCCUCUGCUCCUGUUGUUGGGAAUCAGAGCGAAUUUCUGAGGCUAGGCUGACCUGUGCAGAAGCAGCAGAGCCAAGAAGCAGCAGAGCCAAGAAUUGACAUCUGGUCACACUUCACAUAUGACAACAAGGACAACAAGACCGCCUGUAAACCAUGUGCAGCAAAAAUCGCUGGGAAAAACACCACCAACUUGAAGCGACAUUUACAGAAGACUCAUCCAGAAAUACAUGCAAAGAUACAGAAGACGUCUGAUGACAAAGAUGACCAUGGGCCAAGUGGAAAUUAAGCUCGUACUACUAGUGCAGCUCGUUCUUCAAGUUCUUCAAAGUACAAAACUGAAUCGACAACAGACCACGGAGCAGGCCAUAGCUAGAUGGAUUGGGCGCACAGGUUUACCACUCACAACAAUUUAGGACUUUGUGCUAAUGAUGGCGAUAGUAGAUAGGAGACUAACAGUUCCAAAGAAAACUAACAUGAGCUAUUUGAAUGUGUUACAGAGGAGUAUUUACUGUUGUGGUGUU